CAGUCGCCACGGUAAUACAGAGGGUGCAAGCGUUAAUCGGAAUUACUGGGCGUAAAGCGCGCGUAGGUGGUUUGUUAAGUUGGAUGUGAAAUCCCCGGGCUCAACCUGGGAACUGCAUCCAAAACUGGCAGGCUAGAGUAGGGCAGAGGGUGGUGGAAUUUCCUGUGUAGCGGUGAAAUGCGUAGAUAUAGGAAGGAACACCAGUGGCGAAGGCGACCACCUGGGCUCAUACUGACACUGAGGUGCGAAAGCGUGGGGAGCAAACAGGAUUAGAUACCCCUGUAGUCCCUGUCUCUUAUAC
rnacentral:rRNA from 1 species